UGGGGAAUUUUGGACAAUGGGCGCAAGCCUGAUCCAGCCAUGCCGCGUGCGGGAAGAAGGCCUUCGGGUUGUAAACCGCUUUUGUCAGGGAAGAAAUCUUCUGAGUUAAUACCUCGGGAGGAUGACGGUACCUGAAGAAUAAGCACCGGCUAACUACGUGCCAGCAGCCGCGGUAAAUACGUAGGGUGCAAGCGUUAAUCGGAAUACUGGGCGUAAAGCGUGCGCAGGCGGUUUUGUAAGACAGAGGUGAAAUCCCCGGGCUCAACCUGGGAACUGCCUUUGUGACUGCAAGGCUUGAGUGCGGCAGAGGGGGAUGGAAUUCCGCGUGUAGCAGUGAAAUGCGUAGAUAUGCGGAGGAAACACCGAUGGCGAAAGGCAAUCCCCUGGGCCUGCACUGACGCUCAUGCACGAAAAGCGUGGGGAGCAAAACAGGAUUAGAUACCCUGGUAGUCCACGCCCUAAAACGAUGUCAACUGGUUGUUGGGAAGGUUCCUUCUCAGUAACGUAGCUAACGC
rnacentral:rRNA from 1 species